AGCGAACGCUGGCGGCAGCCCUAACACAUGCAAGUCGAACGGACCCUUCGGGGUUAGUGGCGGACGGGUGAGUAACACGUGGGAACGUGCCUUUAGGUUCGGAAUAGCUCCUGGAAACGGGUGGUAAUGCCGAAUGUGCCCUUCGGGGGAAAGAUUUAUCGCCUUUAGAGCGGCCCGCGUCUGAUUAGCUAGUUGGUGGGGUAAUGGCCCACCAAGGCUACGAUCAGUAGCUGGUCUGAGAGGAUGACCAGCCACAUUGGGACUGAGACACGGCCCAAACUCCUACGGGAGGCAGCAGUGGGGAAUCUUGCGCAAUGGGCGAAAGCCUGACGCAGCCAUGCCGCGUGUAUGAUGAAGGUCUUAGGAUUGUAAAGCUCUUUCACCGAUGAAGAUAAUGACGGUAGUCGGAGAAGAAGCCCCGGCUAACUUCGUGCCAGCCGCCGCGGUAAUAC
rnacentral:rRNA from 1 species